UGACGCGAUCGUAGGCCUUGUCGUAGUACUCGAGCGCGCCGCACAUCGCCAGGUCCUCGGGCUCGCCAACGUUGAAGUUGAGCUUGGAGAAAGUCGUGAAGGGGAUCUGAUCCAGCAUCGUCCACUCGGGCUGGAUGUCCACCGAGUUCCGGAACGCCACCGCCUCGUGCUGCUGGGACGUCCGGUUCUGGUUGUACUGCUUGUCACGCCGUUGCUUCUUCUUCUCAGCCUCGCGCUUCUUGGCCUCGAGCUCCUUGUCCUUGCGCUGAGAAAAUGGAGCGAGCGUUCAUUUUUACACACAUGUUUAUAGAGCAACUUAUUAAUGUUUAAUCAAGGUUCUGAAUACAUUGUUUAACAGAUCAAUAUGAAUAUGCUAGAAUCCUCUAGAAUAUAUGGGCCCGUGUAUAAAAGAGGAGCAAUCGCUCACAUCCAGCAUUGAUCAAGUCGAUUUGUUUCUAGCACUCACCCAGUAAAUCUCUUACCCCCCACAUGGCUUUCUAUUUCUAUGGCAAUGGCACGGUGAAAUGGAAUAAAGUGAAAGAAACUUUUAUUUAUCCUAAUAAAUUUAUAAAUUUUCUUUAAAUUAAUUGUUUUUUAGUGAUUUUAUUAUAAUUAAAUGUUUCUUUUUGCUUUUUUAUUGGUCCAGUUUUUAUUAUAAUUCAUUUUAAUGAAUAAGAGUUUUUUUACUAAGCAUUUGUGUGAAAACUUUUAAUGACUAUACACAACUGACUUUCUUAGUCUAUUAAACUAUUUAUUAACCAUUAAUAACUUUGAAUCAUCUAGUGCUUGUUCCAGGGCACUUUUGAAGUUAAGAAUAGCCCCCCAAAUAAAUGUAUAAUACCAUCUAUUUUAUACCUGUCAUUUCACAAAUUUAAAUUUUUAAUAGUGAAUAUAUUGUUAUUCAUUUAGAUUAAUCAUGUAUUUAUAAUUUAUAAGCAUUUUUUAUAGUUUAUUAAAUUUCUUAAACUUCCUUGUAUAUUCUAAAAUACAUAACCUUCAAAUUGAUCAAUAUGCAAUAAGCACUAUUAAUAAGCAAACGAAGCAUUGCUACAUACAACGUGCAACAAAUAAUUUUAAAUUGCUAUUUCACAACUCAUUUACAGAAAAUAUAAAUGUUAAAUUUACUCCUCUCCUUACAUUUUCAUUCUCUUUUCUCUUUUUUCUUUGAUAUGUAUAUAAAGAAAAGUGUUAUAGCAAUUGCUAUGUAAAUUCAAUAAGAAAAACAUUCCUUAUUAUUGAUCUCCAUGUUUGUUAGUGAUAAGGUCAUCAAACACUUUGUGGUCAACACUUGUUAAUGUGUACAACAUUCUCUAGAAUACAAACCUGGCCUCCUAGAAGAGCUCAUCCUGAUGUAAGAAGUUGCUACUCAAUUCUUCACCCUAAACGUCCCUCCCCUAGUUGUACAUAUGGGUUUUCCCUUUCAUGGCUAACUCCAUUCUAAUGUAUAUAUACAUAUGGAUAAUGUAAAAAAAAACCCUUUUCUAUUGCAUGUGGUACUCGGUACAAAGAUGAAGAGUGGACUUCCUAUGGUCACACCCUUUCUGAUAUCACUUGUGAAAUAAAAAUGACUUCUUUAGCUUUUCCAAUAGGGGCUAUAGGAUCAUCUAGGAUGGAUCUUUAAGCCUUCUCCACUUCUAGUUUACUACUAUACCAACAAUGUUUGCAAAAGAAUUUUUUUAUGUGUUUAUGUUAUUUGAGUCAUGCUUUGCACUUCUAUGAUUAUCUUUAUAGUUAAAGUUUGUUGUUUGUGUUUUUGGGUGCUCAACUAGACCAUUAUAUAAUGAAUGCCAAUGGAAAACCUUUCACACUUUUGUUUUUUUAGUUUUUAGUCUUGGUGAUGUGGCUAAAAGUUAAAGGUUAGUAUGGGUUAAUAUUCCUUGAAAUGUUUAAUUAAGCAUAUUGUUAAGAUCACAAAGCCAAUGAAUAGCAAUUAUUUUGUAAAGUUUGCACUCUUUGUCAACUACAAAAGUUAUAGAAGAGGAUCAUCUUCUGUGACAUGUACACUAAGGCCCACAUGUUAGUCUGGUUAGAUUUUACUUCAUUUUUCUUGGAUCAAUAUACAGUGAGGAAAUUAGCCAAAUCUUAUCAAAUCUUUAAUUUUCUUCCUGUAUAGAUGACUUAGCAAAACUGUGGUUAGCCUGAAACCCAAGGAUGAGGUUUGGAGUAUAUGCAAAAGUCAGACCUCAUGAUCCACACCAUUGUUAUUUUUAUCAUAUGAUAUUCAUUCCCCGGAGUAUAAAAGCCAGCCUAUUAGAAGCCACAUUUCACAGAACAAUAUGGCAAAGAUUCAGCUCUCAACCAUAGUUUUGCAGCUUUUGUUCACCUCUCUUGUAGUUGCAAUGGCACUUGCAAUAGGUACUUUAAAAUUCAAAUCUCUAACCAUAAGAUUUGCUAAUAAAAUUUACAGGGGAGAACAACAUUAUCACUAGGAAACUCCUCCAAGGAUGUGGGGAUACUUUGGCACGAUGCUCCAAAGACGGUGAUUGUUGCCAAGGCCACUGUGCCUUCGCAGGCUCUGUGCUUGGCACCUGUCAGCCUAUUUAAUUAGCCACUUAAAUUACCUCAUAAACAUACUACCUAAGAGGAGUAAUUCAUCCAAUAAAUCUAUUUCCUUUGUGUGGCUUUAUAUACAAAUAUGGCUUUGUAUUUCUUGGCAAUGGCGAAACCUCUCUCAAAGGAUGACUUUUGAGAGAGAGGAGAGAGAGAAUGGCAGCCGUGGAGCUAUUUUUUCGCGGCUUUAGUUUUGCCCUGCUUUCCGCAUCGAGAGAGAGUUUCCAGGAGAUGGGAAACUUCAUCACAGUAAGAGGCCUCAAAAUUCAUCCUGCGCUUAGUCUGGUGGCCUCUCAAGAUCCAAUCGAAUUCUCACAAACAAAAACUCAAAGCUCGAGAAAGCAUGCUGGUCUACUUGCAGCGCCAUGUUGUGUCAUUCCAAAUUUCAAACACCACCACUGUGAGAUUUCUUCUCUAGUACCACGAAUACAUCCGCUCACGCUCCAUCUGCGCUCUCCCAGACAGAGAGAGAAGAAAGAACACGACCAAAUUUUCACCAGACCACAAAGUCUGGUGUAUACGCAAGAUUACAAACAGAAAUUAGAAAAACAAGAACACACUCUCUCUCUUAAACAUCAGCGUCCACAUCCUUCUCUUCGCUUGGCUUGGCGUCGCCGCUCUCCUCCUCCGCCGGCGGCGGUGGAACCUGUUCUUCCUCGGGCAGCGGCUCCUCCACAUAGUCAUUCUCAAACGCAUCCGAUGGAACCAGGUACAAUCUCACCUGUGGCUUCUGCGGGUCCUUGACAAGAACAUACUUACCUUCGGCCAGCUUCAAGCAAACAUCCACGAUCGACUUGACAAUCCCCCACAUGUUGUUGGUGCUGAGAUUGAUCUGCGCUGCGAAAUCCUUGGGCUUGUGCCCCUGGACGCUCAGCACCGUGUGGUUGUAGUGAUCGCGGGGAUGGAUCCUCGACACGUAUCCCAGCUUCAUCACGUCCGCGCUCGCCAGCAGCGCCUGCGCGGUCCACUUGGCGAGCUUGUUCGCGUUGUUCUUGAGCUCGGUCGCCAGCACCGCACCCCGCUGCGUCUCCAGCUUCUGCCUCCAGUCCACCCCCGAGAGCUUGGGAUCGAACUCGUUGAGCGCGUUGAGCGUGAGGAAGACGCUGCCGUUCUUCGACUCCAUGACGCUGUGGAGCUCGCAGCGCGCCACCAGGAACGUCUCGUCGUCCAGCUUCCAACGGCGGUACCUGUACGCCACGCUCGCCGCCACCUCGCUGUCCCCGGCGAACGGGUUCUGCUCCUGGAACUGGACCUUGCCGCCGUCGCGGACGAGCACUUGCUGCGAAAAGUUCUGGUUGAUGUACGCCGCCUCCACGCUGAGCGAGUGCGCCGAGUUGAUGUCCUCCUUGGCCUCGGGCAGUGGCUCCUGGCAAGUCUCGUUCACGGACAGGAGAUCCAGCUGCGAGUUGUCCCUCUUGUCGAAGAAGAGCUUGUUUCCAACGCGCUGGACGACGAUGUCCCACGAGUAGACCGAGCGCGGAGCACACAUGAGCGUGGAGAGGAUGUUGUCCGUCGCAAACACCGUCGCCUUGUCCUCGCUGGCCAGGCGGCGGAUCACCGGAUCAUCGCUCGUCGUCACCUUGAAGAAGUUCAUGUUCUUGAAGCGCUCAAGGCGGCGGUCGGUCUUGGGCGUGACGCGAUCGUAGGCCUUGUCGUAGUACUCGAGCGCGCCGCACAUCGCCAGGUCCUCGGGCUCGCCAACGUUGAAGUUGAGCUUGGAGAAAGUCGUGAAGGGGAUCUGAUCCAGCAUCGUCCACUCGGGCUGGAUGUCCACCGAGCUCCGGAACGCCGCCGCCUCCCGCCGCUGGGACGUCCGGUUCUGGUUGUACUGCUUGUCACGCCGCUGCUUCUCCUUCUCGGCCUCGCGCUUCUUGGCCUCGAGCUCCUCGUCCUUGCGCUGAGGCAGGAGGCGCUGGUUGGGCCGCCACUUGUUGUAGUUCCGCCGCGGCGGCGGCUUCCCAUCCACGGGCUUGAAUGUGUCCUCGUCGGCUUCAUCGUAGACGAAAUCAAAGACGCUCUCGCCCGCGCGCAUACCUCGAGAGGGAUAGGAUCGGCUCCAAUCGGCGGCGCGCCCCAGCUUCUCGUUCUUGGCGAAGGGCGCCAGGAGGAGCGGGCUCUGCGCCGCCGCCGCUGGCAGUGUCGAUG
rnacentral:lncRNA from 1 species